rnacentral:rRNA from 1 species
GGAGGAAAGCAGGGGAUCGUAAGACCUUGCGUUAAUGGAGCGGCCGAUAUUUGAUUAGCUAGUUGGUGAGGUAAAGGCUCACCAAGGCGACGAUCAGUAGCUGGUUUGAGAGAACGACCAGCCACACUGGAACUGAGACACGGUCCAGACUCCUACGGGAGGCAGCAGUGGGGAAUUUUGGACAAUGGGGGCAACCCUGAUCCAGCCAUUCCGCGUGAGUGAAGAAGGCCUUCGGGUUGUAAAGCUCUUUCGCAAGGGAAGAAAACUUAUGAUCGAAUAAAUCAUGAGGUUGACGGUACCUUGAUAAGAAGCACCGGCUAACUACGUGCCAGCAGCCGCGGUAAUACGUAGGGUGCGAGCGUUAAUCGGAAUUACUGGGCGUAAAGCGUGCGCAGGCGGUUUUGUAAGUCGGAUGUGAAAUCCCCGGGCUCAACCUGGGAACU